rnacentral:rRNA from 1 species
AUUGAACGCUGGCGGCAGGCCUAACACAUGCAAGUCGAGCGGAUGAGAGGAGCUUGCUUCUCGAUUCAGCGGCGGACGGGUGAGUAAUGCCUAGGAAUCUGCCUGGUAGUGGGGGACAACGUUUCGAAAGGAACGCUAAUACCGCAUACGUCCUAUGGGAGAAAGCAGGGGACCUUCGGGCCUUGCGCUAUCAGAUGAGCCUAGGUCGGAUUAGCUAGUUGGUGAGGUAAUGGCUCACCAAGGCGACGAUCCGUAACUGGUCUGAGAGGAUGAUCAGUCACAAUGGAACUGAGACACGGUCCAGACUCCUACGGGAGGCAGCAGUGGGGAAUAUUGGACAAUGGGCGAAAGCCUGAUCCAGCCAUGCCGCGUGUGUGAAGAAGGUCUUCGGAUUGUAAAGCACUUUAAGUUGGGAGGAAGGGUUGUAGAUUAAUACUCUGCAAUUUUGACGUUACCGACAGAAUAAGCACCGGCUAACUCUGUGCCAGCCGCCGCGGUAAGAC